UUAUCAAAUGUAGUGAAUAUAUAAAUCAUUGAAAGUUCUGGGAGAACACUUUACAAACUUGUCACAGGCUUUUACAACAAAAAUAGUGCUCAAAGAGACAGAUGCUCCACAUUUUUAACGUUUCUCACUACUCCAUGGCUAGACCUUCGAUCUUCCUGCUCAUCAUAUGGAUUUGACCUAGAAUUAGAACUUGCGUCUUCAUUUUCAGAAGAGCCUGGUCUUUCAGUUAGGAAUUGUUCCCAAAAUACAUCAUUUACUUGAGCUGGAGCAGCUGCAGGCCCUUGAUUGCUACUUGGGGCUUCCUUUGAGGAAGAUAAAAUUGUAUCCUCAUCACCUGCAUUCCUGACCUUUGAGGUAACCAUCAUAUCAGAUUCUUUACCAUUGUCAUUGAACUUUGAUUUGGCAGAUUUGCAAAUUUCCUGAUGUAGUUCAGGCAUCCUAGCUGGAUAAGGACUCCUAUUGACUUGAAGUGUAGAAGAUGCCAGAGUUAGAUUUAGAUGGCAGGAAAUAUGGCCAUCAACUUCUUCAUUAGAAGUCAAAUUCUGCUGCAGCAAAUGCAGUCCUGGGGUUUCAUUCACUGUCACUUUUCUUGGGAAAGAUGGAUCCACUUUAAAUGUAUAAGAUGUCCCAGUAUCUGAAAGUUCAAAUGUUUCAGCUGCAAAUAGCAGACAUGAUGUUCCUGUUGGUGCAUCUUUUGGGUCUACUUCAGCUAUUUUUCUCUGUGGACUUCCCCCAUCUUCAUUGGAACUCUGUGUGCUAUUUGAGACCAAAUUAAUAUCUGAUACAGCUGGUGACAAUUCCAGUCUCAGCUUAUUUGAGAAGUCUUGAUUGAUAACAUUCCCAAACUCGGGUCUAGAACAGCUGUGAUUGUCCACAAAACUAUUUUCUGCAAUCAACUUUGAGUGAUCAACUUGAGGCAGUCGUCUUUUCUUGUUAUAUGCAGAAAAAUCCAUGGAAUCUAUUUUUCGAGCAAGAUGUUCAAUAAAGGCAGGGUUCUGAACUGCCUUCUCUAAGCAAAUCAACAAUUUAUCCUGCCUCUGCUCCAUACUAUCCAUCCGCUGAGUCAGAUCUUCCAACUGAAGCUUUUCAACUGACCGCUGCUGCUUGCUUCCUGCAACACUUGCCUCAAGUGAGGCCUUGUCUCGUGCAAGCCUAUCUAUUUCUUC
rnacentral:misc_RNA from 1 species